rnacentral:rRNA from 1 species
GACGAACGCUGGCGGCGUGCUUAACACAUGCAAGUCGAACGGAAAGGCCCUGCUUUUGUGGGGUGCUCGAGUGGCGAACGGAUGAGUAACACGUGAGUAACCUGCCCUUGACUUUGGGAUAACUUCAGGAAACUGGGGCUAAUACCGGAUAGGAGCUCCUGCUGCAUGGUGGGGGGUGGAAAGUUUCGGCGGUUGGGGAUGGACUCGCGGCUUAUCAGCUUGUUGGUGGGGUAGUGGCUUACCAAGGCUUUGACGGGUAGCCGGCCUGAGAGGGUGACCGGCAACAUUGGGACUGAGAUAAGGCCAAGACUCCUACGGGUCGCAGUAGGGAGGAAUAUUGUACACUGGGCGGAAGCCUGAUGCAUCAACCCCGCGUUCGGGAUGAAGGCAUUCGGGUUGUAAACCGCUGUCGCCUGUGACGAAGGGUGAGUGACGGUAAUGGGUAAAGAAGCACCGGCUAACUACGUG